UCCUGAACCAGCCAAGCCGCGUGAGGGAAGACGGCCCUAUGGGUUGUAAACCUCUUUUGUCGGAGAACAAAACCCGGGACGUGUCCCGGACUGCGUGUAUCCGAAGAAAAAGCAUCGGCUAACUCCGUGCC
rnacentral:rRNA from 1 species